AUUGAACGCUGGCGGCAUGCCUUACACAUGCAAGUCGAACGGUAACAGGUCUUCGGAUGCUGACGAGUGGCGAACGGGUGAGUAAUACAUCGGAACGUGCCUAGUAGUGGGGGAUAACUACUCGAAAGAGUGGCUAAUCACGCCUGAGAUCUACGGACGAAAGCAGGGGAUCGCAAGACCAUGUACUACUAGUUCGGCCGAGGGCGGAAUAGGUAGUUGGUGGGAUAAAAGCUUAACAAGCCGACGAUCGGUAGCUGGUAUGAGAGGACGAUCAGCCACACUGGGACUGAGACACGGCCCAGACUCCUACGAGAGGGAGCAGUGGGGAAGUUUGGACAAUGGGCGCAAGCCUGAUCCAGCAAUGCCGCGGGCAGGAUGAAGGCCUUCGGGUUGUAAACUGCUUUUGUACGGAACGAAAAGCCCUGGGUUAAUACCCUGGGGUCAUGACGGUACCGUAAGAAUAAGCACCGGCUAGCUACGUGCCAGCCGCCGCGGUAA
rnacentral:rRNA from 1 species